UGGGGAAUAUUGCACAAUGGGCGCAAGCCUGAUGCAGCCAUGCCGCGUGUAUGAAGAAGGCCUUCGGGUUGUAAAGUACUUUCAGCGGGGAGGAAGGGAGUAAAGUUAAUACCUUUGCUCAUUGACGUUACCCGCAGAAGAAGCACCGGCUAACUCCGUGCCAGCAGCCGCGGUAAUACGGAGGGUGCAAGCGUUAAUCGGAAUUACUGGGCGUAAAGCGCACGCAGGCGGUUUGUUAAGUCGGAUGUGAAAUCCCCGGGCUCAACCUGGGAACUGCAUCUGAUACUGGCAAGCUUGAGUCUCGUAGAGGGGGGUAGAAUUCCAGGUGUAGCGGUGAAAUGCGUAGAGAUCUGGAGGAGUACCGGUGGCGAAGGCGGCCCCCUGGGCGAAGACUGACGCUCAGGUGCGAAAGCGUGGGGAGCAAACAGG
rnacentral:rRNA from 1 species